UACGGAGGGUGCAAGCGUUAUCCGGAUUCACUGGGUUUAAAGGGUGCGUAGGCGGGCAGGGUAAGUCAGAGGUGAAAUCUCCGGGCUUAACCCGGAAACUGACCUUUGAUACUAUCUGUCUUGAAUAUGGUGGAGGUAAGCGGAAUAUGUCAUGUAGCGGUGAAAUGCUUAGAGAUGACAUAGAACACCCAUUGCGAAGGCAGCUUACUACGCCUAUAUUGACGCUGAGGCACGAAAAGCGUGGGGAUCAAACAGG
rnacentral:rRNA from 1 species